rnacentral:rRNA from 1 species
UACGAAGGGGGCUAGCAUUGCUCGGAAUUACUGGGCGUAAAGGGCGCGUAGGCGGCACUGUUAGUCAGGCGUGAAAGUCCUGGGCUCAACCUGGGAACUGCGCUUGAUACGGCAGAGCUAGAGGAUGGAAGAGGCUCGCGGAAUUCCCAGUGUAGAGGUGAAAUUCGUAGAUAUUGGGAAGAACACCGGUGGCGAAGGCGGCGAGCUGGUCCAUUACUGACGCUGAGGCGCGACAGCGUGGGGAGCAAACAGG